rnacentral:rRNA from 1 species
GACGAACGCUGGCGGCGUGCCUAAUACAUGCAAGUAGAACGCUGAAGGAGGAGCUUGCUUCUCUGGAUGAGUUGCGAACGGGUGAGUAACGCGUAGGUAACCUGCCUGGUAGCGGGGGAUAACUAUUGGAAACGAUAGCUAAUACCGCAUAAGAGUAGAUGUUGCAUGACAUUUGCUUAAAAGGUGCAAUUGCCUCACUACCAGAUGGACCUGCGUUGUAUUAGCUAGUUGGUGGGGUAAAGGCUCACCAAGGCGACGAUACAUAGCCGACCUGAGAGGGGGAGCGGCCCCACUGGGAAUGGGAACCGGCCCAGACGCCUUAGGGAGGCAGCAGUAGGGAAACUUCGGCAAAGGACGGAAGGCUGACCGAGCAACGCCGGGGGAGUGAAGAAGGGUUUCGGAUCGGAAAGCCCCGUUGUAAGAGAAGAACGAGCGUGAGAGUGGAAAGUUCACACUGUGACGGUAUCUUACCAGAAAGGGACGGCUAACUACGUG